UACGUAGGGGGGCGAGCGUUGUCCGAAGUUACUGGGCGUAAAGCGCGCGUAGGCGGGCUCUUAAGUGAGGGGUGAAAGGCUUGGGCUCAACCCAAGCACUGCCUUUCAUACUGGGAGCCUUGAGUAUGGGAGAGGCGAGUGGAAUGGUCGGUGUAGCGGUGAAAUGCGUAGAUAUCGAUCGGAACACCCAUGGCGAAGGCAGGCUCGCUGGGACGGUACUGACGCUGAGACGCGAAAGCGUGGGGAGCGAACAGG
rnacentral:rRNA from 1 species